UAAUGGUAGGUCCGGUCCUUUGUAUAUUCUGGUUUCUUUACGAAAAUGAGUUAUUUGUACCAGUUAACUGUAAUUUUGGUAAUAAAGGGUAGGGAGGAAUGAGCUUCUUAUCUGUUGUUUUUGUUAAGUACUUUUAUUGUAAGUCAUUAGAAGUGGGCUUAAAGUCAGCCAUCUUGGUAUAACGUUAAAGUAAUAAUGAUUUUGUAUUUAUAUUUUUAAAGUAUCUUGCUGUUUUUAGUAAAGAAUUUCGUUUAUUGUUUAAGCGAAAGAUAGAAUGUUUAUAUAAGUAAAAUUAGAGUUUUUUUUUAAUCUUAAAUAAAAUAAAGUUUUUAAGUAUUAGAAGGCGUUUAGAAGGAACUCGGCAAAUAUUAUCUCCGCCUGUUUAUCAAAAACAUGUCUGUGUGUAUAAGUUAUAAAGUCUAGCCUGCCCACUGAUUGAUUUAAAGGGCCGCGGUAAUUUGACCGUGCGAAGGUAGCAUAGUCAGUAGUCUUUUAAUUGAAGGCUUGAAUGAAAGGUUGGACGAGGGAUGAGCUGUCUCCUUUAUGUAAUUUGAAUUUAACUUUUGAGUGAAAAGGCUCAAAUUAUUUAGUGGGACGAUAAGACCCUAUAAAACUUUAUAUAAGUUUAAUUUGGCUUACAAUUUGAGUGAAAAGUAGCUUUAUUAGGCUUAUAUUUCGUUGGGGAGAUGUAGAUAUAAUGUGUAACUGUCUAUUUAAUUUAAUAAUUAUAAUUAGUGUGUGAUCCUUCUUUGUGGAUUAAAAGUAUAAGUUACUUUAGGGAUAACAGCGUGAUUUUCUUUGAGAGUUCUUAUCGACAAGAGUAGUACGACCUCGAUGUUGAAUUAAAAUUUCAGGGUAGGGGUUAAGCCC
rnacentral:rRNA from 1 species